rnacentral:lncRNA from 1 species
GAGACUUUUUAAAAGCGGAAAUGUCAAAUUUAUAUUUUGAAUUUUAUUAGAAUACACAGGAUAAAUCACAAGAAAUAGGCGCCCGAAGUUCGCCAAAACCUCUCUUUAGAUUUUAUUGAAAAUGGUGGACGUGAAGGAUUAUAACGUGGUCGUAUUGGGGUUGUCUUUUAUGUUCAUAUUUACGGCGUUUCAAACAACUUCUAUGAUAGAGGUAUAAACCUGUAUAGUUUAAUUCAUAAUUUCUGAUAAAACAUUGCGUAAAAUACGACGAAUUGCACUGUUUGCAGUAGUUUUUGUUUUGUUUGAUGUUAGUUUAUUCAUGUGGCCAAAAAUACAGAAUUAUUUUUUGGGAUUGUAAUUUUGAAAAUCACGAGUUAAUCACGAGACCAGAUCCUAAGGGGGUGAGGGGUUCAGUGUCCAUACUGCACUCGACCUUGAAAUGCAAAAAAUUUUACCUUCAAUCAAAACAUUUUUACAUCCUGUAAGGCAUGCCACAACCCACUUAUGUCUUUUGUAUGAUAUACAUACAACCAUGAACCAUCCAUGAAUCUGUGAUGCAUAUCAUACAGGCAUACUUUUUAUUUGUGAGGAAAUGACAGUCACCCCCUCACCCUAACACAAACAUUCCAAGUUGUUCUGGUUUUCAGAUGAAAUAUGUGCUUCCAGAAAGUACGUCAUCUUGGCCAUAGAUGCAGUACUAUUUGAUUUACUUUGUAUAAUUUAGUCGGCAUGUACUAAAACCCGAAACAACCGGAAUGAAACCACCGGAACGAAACCACCGGAAUGACCGGAACAAGAAUCUGAAAUGACCGGAACCACCGAAACCAAAAUUGAACACGAUCGGAACAAAGUAGUAGAACACUAAAUAACUAUCGUUCCGAUCGUGUUCGAUUUUGGUUUCAGUGGUUCCGGUCAUUUCCGAUUCUUGUUCCAGUCGUUCCUGUGGUUUCGUUCUGGUGGUUUCGUUCCGGUUGUUUCGGGUUUUGGUACAUGCCAAUUUAGUCUAGCACAUCUAAAGUAUUGCCAUUUAAUUUAAGUGUUACAACAUAAAUCGCUUUAUAUUUUCAAUAGGAGAGCAUAUUAAAAAGUGCAAAAAAUGAAAGUGUACCUCCUAGUGCAUUUAAAGGCAAGUUGAAAUUACCAUGCAUUUUACUAAAUGUGUUGUGCAUUUUAUUGAAUUAAAUCAAAGUAACCCUACUUUGAUUUUUAUUUUUCUGUUUCCAGCAAGUGGAUAUAACAGGUACUGUAAAUUUACAUGUUGUUUAAUUUAAUAUCAUGAACUAUUUCAUCAUGUUCCUCUGCUUAUCCCCCAUCCCAUCCUCAAAGAUAUGAAAAACUAGGUUUUUUCAAGCAGGACAACAAAUUUUUUGUUGCAUUCUGCAGUGUUAAAACAAUAUGAAUAAUUGCUGAAGUGACCAAGAUGACCGAGAUUUUUUUACAUUCAGAAAGACCAAUCUUUCUGAAUGUGAAAAAUCUUGGUCAUCUCGAUAGCUAUUGAAUGAUAUGUUCUUCAUGCCAAAUGGAUAAAAAAUGAGCAAAUACGAGUCCGAUAAAAAACGUUAGUCAGAAUCGCAUAUUUUCACCUUUGAGAGUUGGAUCUAAAACCAUUGAAAAUUAACCCCCUUUGGGAUUAAGUUGAUGAAAAUUCACUUCAGUAAUUAAACUACGCACAUAUUCAUAAUUAUUAUUAAAUUAAGUAGGAAUAAAUUUUAGCUAAGCUACCCGGUACGACAAGUUUGUGAUUUAAUUGCUUUUCUUUUGUUAUGUAAGUCCUGCUUUAAUUCGGCACAGAGGUGAAAAUAUGCGAUUCUGACUAACAUUUUUUAUCGGACUCGUACUUGCUUAUUUUUUCUCCACUUGGCAUGAAAAACAUGUCAUUCAAUAGCUAAAAGCCUAAUCUUUCCGAAUAUGAAAAAAUGUUCAUGUG